CACAGAGUACGGCACAAACAAAAGCAAGGCCUACGUGCCUACAUGAGGCGGACAGAACAACAACACUGAUUCUAGUUUUAGAACUUUGAGUGGAACAUUCACUUAAAGAACAUUAGUAAAAGUACAUCAGAAUAUUCGUCUAUUCUGGCCAAUUGCGUUUGUUUUUGUCUUCUUUUGUUCAGUCUUCUAAACGAAUUAACCCGAGGUGUUCUUCUGAACGGAUUCACUUGAAAUUUCCUUUAAAGGACACACUGGCAGCUAGAUUCAGCAUGAGGGCAUUCUUCAGUGACCUAGUUCUGUUUCUAAUUAUUCUACCUUCCCCAUGUAUGGCAGGUUUUUGCUUCCACCAAGUAAUUCUGCCUCGAACGAUCGAAGUGGAUUUUCAGACUCGACAGAUACCAUCUGAAGACGGUGGCAGCCAAUGGGAACUCGUGGCAAACGUCACGUGGCAGAGGCGUCAAGACA